CCCUUAGACGUUCUGGGCCGCACGCGCGCUACACUGACACAGGCAACGAGCUUUCCUUUACCGAAAGGUAUGGGUAAUCUUUUGAAACUGUGUCGUGCUGGGGAUAGAUCCUUGCAAUUUUUGAUCUUAAACGAGGAAUUCCCAGUAAGCGCGAGUCAUAAGCUCGCGUUGAUUACGUCCCUGCCCUUUGUACACACCGCCCGUCGCUACUACCGAUUGAACGGUUUAGUGAGGGCCUCGGAUUGGUCUCGGCCCGCUCUUUACCGGGCGGCGCCGUUGGUCGAGAAGACGCUCGAACUUGAUCGUUUAGAGGAAGUAAAAGUCGUAACA
rnacentral:rRNA from 1 species